CGUAGGGUCCAAGCGUUAUCCGGAAUCACUGGGCGUAAAGCGUGCGUAGGUGGCGUGUUAAGUGAAAUGUUAAAUCGUGUGGCUCAACCAUAUCGAUGCAUCUCAUACUGGCAUGCUAGAGGACAGCAGAGGCAAGUGGAAUUACGAGUGUAGCAGUGAAAUGCGUAGAUAUUCGUAGGAACACCAAUGGCGAAGGCAGCUUGCUGGGCUACUCCUGACACUGAGGUACGAAAGCGUGGGGAGCGAACAGGAUUAGAUACCCUGGUAGUCCACGCCGUAAACGAUGCAUACUAGUCUUAUGGGGUAUCGACCCCCUGUGAGACGAAGCUAACGCGAUAAGUAUGCCGCCUGGGAAGUACGGCCGCAAGGCUA
rnacentral:rRNA from 1 species